rnacentral:rRNA from 1 species
AUUGAACGCUGGCGGCAGGCCUAACACAUGCAAGUCGAACGGUAACAGGAAGCAGCUUGCUGCUUUGCUGACGAGUGGCGGACGGGUGAGUAAUGUCUGGGAAACUGCCUGAUGGAGGGGGAUAACUACUGGAAACGGUAGCUAAUACCGCAUAACGUCGCAAGACCAAAGAGGGGGACCUUCGGGCCUCUUGCCAUCGGGUGUGCCCAGAUGGGAUUAGCUAGUAGGUGGGGUAACGGCUCACCUAGGCGACGAUCCCUAGCUGGUCUGAGAGGAUGACCAGCCACACUGGAACUGAGACACGGUCCAGACUCCUACGGGAGGCAGCAGUGGGGAAUAUUGCACAAUGGGCGCAAGCCUGAUGCAGCCAUGCCGCGUGUAUGAAGAAGGCCUUCGGGUUGUAAAGUACUUUCAGCGGGGAGGAAGGGAGUAAAGUUAAUACCUUUGCUCAUUGACGUUACCCGCAGAAGAAGCACCGGCUAACUCCGUG